CUCUUUAUUAAUUUCUGAUCCCAAAUGUACGUACAAGAGGUAGUCUCCUCUCUUUUAUAUAAGUCCAAUGGAUAAGAGGCCACAACAAACUAUUAUUAUUAUGUGAAGAAAGGAGUCAACAUGGGGUUGGGGGCACACGACUCGGUGGACACCCCACGCGGUCGUUGGUUCAUCGUCUCUCUCGCUCACUGUCGCGCGCUCUCUCUCCCUGUCUUGCUCACCCCCUCGCCGGACCGCGGCCUCCGCGCGCGCUCGCCCUGCAGCCGCCUCUGCGCGAGGCGACCCCGCCGCCUCUGCGUGCGCGUCUCUCUCGCUCGCGAAUCCCUCGCCUGAUUUGCCGAGACCGCCUCCUCCGAGCGCCACCACGAAGCACUGGCUGAGACUGCCUACUCCGACCGCGGGGAAGGAGGCCAUGGCGGCGGCGGCGGCCCUGUGCUGGAGAGGCAGCGGGAUCCAUGGCGGCAGGAAAGGGAAACGACGUGUGGCGGCCAGACCUUCCAGACGACGCCCUGCGGCGGCCUAGAGCGCGACGGCAGCGGGCGUGCGACGCAGCGGGGAAUGAGGCCAUGGCGACGGCCUCGAGCCCGACGCCUCGAGCGCCACGGCGAGCGGCGGUGGCCUCAAGCGCUUUGGCGAGCGGUUGCAGACUCGAGCGCGCUGGCAGGCAGCGCGGCCUGUGCGAGACUGUAGAGAGAGAGGGGAGACUCGCGAGCUGGGCCGGCGCCGGAGACGAGGCCGAGGGCGGCGCUCGGAGUCCUCGUCAGUUUGAACAGG
rnacentral:lncRNA from 1 species